GGGUCCUUCACUUCAAGCAGUGCCACCACUGUUUUGCAUGGUGAUAUCCAAGGCACCUUCUCAAACCCAGCCUGAGAUACAAAUAUCUCCCAUCUGUCUCCCUCUGAGCUCAGAGCUCUCUGCCUCCAGCUCUGCCAGGGUCACAAUGCUCUCCCACUCCUUGCUCCUGUGCAUCCUACUGCUCUGGCCUCAAGAAUCCCAGGCAGCCAUUGAGCUGACCCACUCCCCAGACUCCCUGUCUGUGGCUGCAGGAGAUCAAGUCACCAUCAACUGCAAGGCCAGUUCCAGCAUUAGCAAGUACAUGGCCUGGUACCAGCAGAAACCAGGACAGUCUCCCAGGCUCCUGAUCUAUUAUGCUUCCACCCUGCAGUCUGGGGUCCCUGCCCCGUUCAGUGGCAGUGGCUCUGGGACAGAUUUCACCCUGACCAUCAGUGCAGUGGAGGCGGGGGACGUGGCAGAUUACUACUGUUUUCAUUAUUAUGGUACUCCAUUCCCAUAG